GUGAACGCUGGCGGUAGGCCUAACACAUGCAAGUCGAACGGCAGCACAGUAAGAGCUUGCUCUUACGGGUGGCGAGUGGCGGACGGGUGAGGAAUACAUCGGAAUCUACUUUUUCGUGGGGGAUAACGUAGGGAAACUUACGCUAAUACCGCAUACGACCUACGGGUGAAAGCAGGGGAUCUUCGGACCUUGCGCGAUUGAAUGAGCCGAUGUCGGAUUAGCUAGUUGGCGGGGUAAAGGCCCACCAAGGCGACGAUCCGUAGCUGGUCUGAGAGGAUGAUCAGCCACACUGGAACUGAGACACGGUCCAGACUCCUACGGGAGACAGCAGUGGGGAAUAUUGGACAAUGGGCGCAAGCCUGAUCCAGCCAUACCGCGUGGGUGAAGAAGGCCUUCGGGUUGCAAAGCCCUUUUGUUGGGAAAGAAAAGCAGCAGGUUAAUACCCCGCUGUUCUGACGGUACCCAAAGAAUAAGCACCGGCUAACUUCGUG
rnacentral:rRNA from 1 species